rnacentral:lncRNA from 1 species
UUUAGGAUUUAGGAUUUGGUUUAGGAUUUUUUUAGGAUUUUAUUUAGGAUUUAGGAUUUGGUUUAGGAUUUUGUUAGGGUUUUAUUUAGGAUUUAGGGUUUGUAUUAGGAUUUGGUUUAAGAUUUGAUUUAGGGUUUGGUUUAGAGUUUAGGAUUUGUAUUAGGAUUUAGUUAUGGUUUGGAUUAGGAUUUGGUUUAGGGUUUAGGAUUUGAAUUAGAAUUUGAUUAGGAUUUGAUUUAGGAUUUAGGAUUUGGUUUAGGAUUUGGUUAGGGCUUGAUUUAGGAUUUGAUUGGGAUUUGGUUUAAGAUUUGUUUAGGAUAUGAUUCAGGGUUUAGGAUUUUAUUAGGAUUUAAGAUUCAAUUAGUUUUGGCCUAAAGUUUGAAUGAAGUUCAAUAGGAUUUUAACUAGAAUUAAAUUAAGAUUGAAUUGAGAUGUAUUUGAGUGAUAUUUGUGAUCCUUCUAAUAUUUUUUUAAGAAUUCUUAUUAUUUGUUUAAAAUUUCUUUGAGUUUUUUUUGAAUUUGAUUAAGCUUGCUUAGCAUUAUUAUGGUCUAAUUAGAGCAUUGUUAGUAUUCUAUUAGAAUUAGGAUUUUGUUAUUGCAAUUUCCAUUCUUUCUUCCACAGCCAAGUACUCGAACCAUUCUCAAGCAAGACUUCACGUAUUACGACAUCGUCAGUUUGAGGAUGAAAAGUCGAAGAUAGUUUUAUAUCCACUUGUAAAAUCUUAAAAAGGGUUCUCCAAAAUCUUGAUACAAAUUGAAUUCCCU